GGUCUGUUCGUCUAGCGGUCUAGGACAUCGCCCUUUCACGGCGGCAACAGGAGUUCAAAUCUCCUACAGAUCA
rnacentral:tRNA from 1 species